rnacentral:lncRNA from 1 species
UAACCCGGUGUGCUCGUUUUAUUUUUUUGACUUUUUUUCCGUCGCAUUUUGACCAACUUGAACUUUUUUUAACUAGUCAUUUUUUAUUUAAAAAUUUGAUCAAAACUCGUCUAUUGAUCAGAAUUCUAUUUCCCGCUAAUUAUUUUAGUAUAUUCAUUUUUAUUAUUUCAAAGUUUUAAAACUCCAAUAAACAAACUCCAAUAAAUAAAGAGAUUUUAAUUUUAAUAUCAAACUGACUAAAUAUCA